rnacentral:lncRNA from 1 species
CAGCGCUCUCAACCAUUGAGCCAUCUCUCCAGCCCUACCACGUGGAUUCUCAUGGAUUGAACUCAAGCUUGGUAGCAAAUGCUCUUACCCACAGAACCGUCGUGCCAGCCCAGAGACCCUGACAUUUAAGUAAAAACAAAAACGAAACAAAACAGAAAACAGAACCAACCCAGAAAGCGCUUCCUCUCACUAGAAUGGAAUAGAAACUUCCAUAUUGGGGAAGCCACAGGGUGCCAUGGAGAUGUGCUUUAUUUAGUGAGCCUCUCACUUAGGGUUUCUAUUGAUCUGACCCAAUGCAUGACCAAAAGCAACUUACUGAUCUCUCUUCCUCUUCCACAUCGUAGCCAGUUAUCAAAGGAUGCUGGGUUAGGAACCUGAAGGCAGGGACUGAAGCAGAGGACACAGAAGAACACCGACUCCUUGCAUCUUGAUCAGCCUAGAUUCUUAGACCAAUCAGGACCAUCUCACCAGCCAACACCCUGUCUUUUAUUUUUGAAGUUGGUUUCAUUUUGCCAUGCUGUGGGUCAGGAUGACCUUGAUUUCGAUAUCCCAGCCACCACCUCCUGAGUCCUGGCAUUACAGGUUAGCACCACCACGCCUGUUUUGUUUUUAACGUCCCCAGCAACAUGGACUGAAUGGUAGAGCCCCAUGCAUCAAAUCCUUGUGCUAUACGGGGACAUUGGAUCAAGCUGCAGAACCUGCAUUUGCAUGGUAACCCCGAGUGUGAGGAUGUGGCAGUCAGAGGGACACAGCCAACUUCAGCCCUCAUUCAAGAUGCAGGGGCUCAUUGGAACCGGGUGGACUGGUAGGAAUAGUACAACCAGUGUGCCCUGCCUGACUGCCCCUUUUCUUGUCUCUUCUACUUCAUGAAGUCUUUAAGAGCCUUGACAUUCCGGAAAGCAUCCGGGACUGGACAAUGAGGUUCAAGACAAAGCCAGCUUCAGUGAUGCCGGCCCUCACCAUGGAAGGGAACGCGGACAGAAUUCACCAGCAAUUAAUCAGAUGCGUCUGGUGCACACAGCAGGUGCCUCAUAAGCACCUGAAUGGAUGGACAGUAGCAGACACUGUAGCUCACACCCACUUCAUGCCUUUAGUUUUAUUCCGAGCUGCUCACUGUGGGGUGAUUGGCUUUGUGGUGGGCAAACGGUGAGGGGAUACAACUGGCGUCCUCGAGGAAUGAUCAGUGCUUGCAGAGAGCCUGGAGAGGGACACCAGCCGAUGUUCUCAGAGCCUAGCGUCAUGGUGCACACACAUAAUCCCAACCCUUGAGAGGAUAAGAAGGCAGACCCAAGAGCCUGAGGCCACCUGAGCUGUAUAACAAGAACCAAAGAAGCUACAAAGACAAAGCUCAGCGGAACAGUACUAGCCUAGCAUGCCUGACGCCCUGGAUUCCUAUCCCCCUGCACUGUCAAGAAAAGAGACCCCUGAAAGCCCAUUCCAGCACAUUUCUGUAACAUCACCCAGUUCAAGUGAGGAACCAUUCUCAGUAUCAGGGACUUUUCUAAAAGAAAAAUUUCCUAGGAAAAAUUUGGUCUCCCCGAGAGCUCUCUGUAGCUGGAAACAUUGAUAGACAAGUAGUCUUGUUUAACAGAGCUCCGGCUAGGACUAGCAAGCUCCCCACUUGGGCACCCUUCGGACCUUAGCCCUCUUCUGGGCUGUGGUGGAUAGUCUUCCUGUGGAGCAGAGGAAGACCUGAGCCAGUGAAGUGUAUUUUGACACGGGCAUGGCUGUGUCAAGGAAGCCCAAGGCCUUGGCCCAUGGGACAAUUGACAAAGCCAUCCCUCCUAUGGCUCAUGCUCAAGAGAAAUAGCCAAGCUUUUCUCAGGAAUCUGAGUGUGAGUGGUUAUGGAUGAUUGAUCAAGGUAUGCAAAGACUUGGAACUAUGGCUUCCUUCUCCUGGGUGUUUACAGCCUGAGACUGCUGACUACAGAGACCUCCCAAAGAGACAAGUUAACCUUUGCCCACCCCUUCCCCGUGCUGUACCUAAUUAGCACAUUGGGGAUACAGCUUGCUGUUAGCAGAACCCUUCCUGGUCCGAGCUUUACUGCAUGAGUGUCUGUGUGUCUGUCCUUUCCUCAUUACUAUGGUGCCACUCCUUGCCAGGGUGAUUGGACCCAAGCCAUGAAGGUUGGGUGGGAUUGGAUUAAGAGCCCCAUAGAGAGAUGACGUCUAAUCUUCUGGGCGUGACCCUGUGAGUGUUUCCAGAGAACAAUUAGCACGUGGGUGAGUGAACUAAGAGGGUAGAGACUCUGUGUGAGACUGUGAUGACGCCACAGGCUUUUACAAAUUUGUCCAGAUGUGUAGACUAUAGAACACCAUGAGCGGAGUCUAAUGAACAUCAAGUACAGUGAGUGACAGUGGUGUGCUGUUAUGAGUUCAUCAGUAACAAAUAUAUCAGUCUGAUGAGGACGCUGAUAUGAGGAUGCUACACAUGGGUGGAGGCAAGGAACAUAUGGGAAAUUCCAGUACCCUUUUUUUUUUAAAUUCAAAUUUACUAUCAACAUAAACUUGCUUUAAAAUUGUAGUCUUGGUCUGGAGAGAUGUCUCAGCAGUUAAGAGAGCUGGCUGCUCUCCCAGAAGACCUGGUUUGGUUCCCAGUACCCACACGGUGGCUCACAGCUAACUGUAGCUCCUGUUCCAGGGGAGCUGAUGUCUUCUGAUCUCAGUGAAAGUCAGGCAUGCAUGUGGUGUCCAGACAGGCAUGAGUGCAAAACACCUUAAAAAAAAAAUAGAAUAAUAUCUAAGAACUAAAUAAAAAGAACUGCUCUUGACUCUUAUUGC